rnacentral:rRNA from 1 species
CAAAAACAUUGCUUUUUAUAUUUAAUAAAAAGUAUGGUCUGCCCAGUGAGUAAUUUUAACGGCCGCAAUAUUUGUGCGAAGGUAGCAUAAUCAUUUGUCUUUUAAUUGAUGACUGGAAUGAAUGGCUGGACGGAGAAAAGCUGUCUCUUUUAUAUUUUUUAAAAAUUUACUUUCAAGUUAAAAGGCUUGAAUAAUAUAGAGGGACGAGAAGACCCUAUUGAGUUUUAUAGCUAAACUUCAAAUUUUUCUUUAAUUUUAAAUAAUAGCUAUUUAGUUGGGGUGACUUUAUAAUAAAAUCUAUAUUAGAAUUAAUAGACAUUAAGUUAUUAGGAUCCAUAAUUUAUGAUAAAUAGAUUAAAUUACCUUAGGGAUAACAGCGUAAUAUUUUUUUAGAGUUCAAAUCGAUUAAAAUGCUUACGACCUCGAUGUUGGAUUAAAGAACCUAAUUUGGAGAAGGAGUUAAUUUAGGUAGUCUGUUCGACUAUUAAAUCUUUAC